rnacentral:rRNA from 1 species
AUUGAACGCUGGCGGCAGGCCUAACACAUGCAAGUCGAACGAGUGGGGGAAGGGAGAGUAAUGAAUGGGAAACGGACUGAUGGAGGGGGAUAACUACUGGAAACGGUAGCUAAUAACGCAUAACAGCAGAUGGGCCCAGAUGGGAUUAGCUAGUUGGUGGGGGAACGGCAGACCAAGGCCACGAUCCCUAGCUGGUCUGAGAGGAUGAACAGCCACACUGGAACUGAGACACGGUCCAGACUCCUACGGGAGGCAGCAGUGGGGAAUAUUGCACAAUGGGCGCAAGCCUGAUGCAGCCAUGCCGCGUGUAUGAAGAAGGCCUUCGGGUUGUAAAGUACUUUCAGCGGGGAGGCGUUACCCGCAGAAUAAGCACCGGCUAACUCCGUGCCAGCAGCCGCGGUAAUUC